rnacentral:tRNA from 1 species
GCCUCUGUGGUGUAGGAUGCACAGCUGUGCCCCUCCUUGGCAGCGGUGUGGGUUCGAUUCCCACCAGAGGCACCA